rnacentral:rRNA from 1 species
GACGAACGCUGGCGGCGUGCUUAACACAUGCAAGUCGAACGGGAUUUCGUAGACAGAAGCUUCGGUGGAAGAUUACUAAUGAGAGUGGCGAACGGGUGAGUAACGCGUGAGCAACCUGCCUAUGACAGUGGGAUAGCCUCGGGAAACCGGGAUUAAUACCGCAUAAAAUCGUAGAAACACAUGUUUCAACGGUCAAAGAUUUAUCGGUCGUAGAUGGGCUCGCGUCUGAUUAGCUAGUUGGUGAGAUAACAGCCCACCAAGGCGACGAUCAGUAGCCGGUCUGAGAGGAUGAACGGCCACAUUGGAACUGAGACACGGUCCAAACUCCUACGGGAGGCAGCAGUGGGGAAUAUUGCACAAUGGGGGAAACCCUGAUGCAGCGACGCCGCGUGAACGAAGAAGGUAUUCGUAUCGUAAAGUUCUGUCCUAUGGGAAGAUAAUGACAGUACCAUAGAAGAAAGCGCCGGCUAAAUACGUG